AGCGAACGCUGGCGGCAUGCCUAACACAUGCAAGUCGAACGAGACCUUCGGGUCUAGUGGCGCACGGGUGCGUAACGCGUGGGAACCUGCCCUUAGGUUCGGAAUAACUCCCCGAAAGGGGUGCUAAUACCGGAUAAUGUCUUCGGACCAAAGAUUUAUCGCCUUUGGAUGGGCCCGCGUUGGAUUAGCUAGUUGGUAGGGUAAAAGCCUACCAAGGCGACGAUCCAUAGCUGGUCUGAGAGGAUGAUCAGCCACACUGGGACUGAGACACGGCCCAGACUCCUACGGGAGGCAGCAGUGGGGAAUAUUGGACAAUGGGCGAAAGCCUGAUCCAGCAAUGCCGCGUGAGUGAUGAAGGCCUUAGGGUUGUAAAGCUCUUUUACCCGGAAUGAUAAUGACAGUACCGGGAGAAUAAGCUCCGGCUAACUCCGUG
rnacentral:rRNA from 1 species